AUUGAACGCUGGCGGCAUGCCUAACACAUGCAAGUCGAACGGCAGCACGGGAGCUUGCUCCUGGUGGCGAGUGGCGGACGGGUGAGUAAUGCAUAGGAAUCUGCCCAGUAGCGGGGGACAACUUGGGGAAACUCAAGCUAAUACCGCAUGCGCCCUACGGGGGAAAGCGGGGGACCUUCGGGCCUCGCACUAUUGGAUGAGCCUAUGUCAGAUUAGCUUGUUGGUGGGGUAACGGCCUACCAAGGCGACGAUCUGUAGCUGGUCUGAGAGGACGAUCAGCCACACUGGGACUGAGACACGGCCCAGACUCCUACGGGAGGCAGCAGUGGGGAAUAUGCACAAUGGGCGAAAGCCUGAUGCAGCAAUGCCGCGUGUGUGAAGAAGGCCUGCGGGUUGUAAAGCAC
rnacentral:rRNA from 1 species